UACGUAGGGAGCGAGCGUUGUCCGGAAUUACUGGGCGUAAAGGGUGCGUAGGCGGCGAUGUAAGUCAGAUGUGAAAUCCCCGGGCUCAACUCGGGUUCUGCAUUUGAAACUACAUUGCUUGAGUGCAGGAGAGGAAAGCGGAAUUCCUAGUGUAGCGGUGAAAUGCGUAGAUAUUAGGAAGAACACCAGUGGCGAAGGCGGCUUUCUGGACUGUAACUGACGCUGAGGCACGAAAGCGUGGGGAGCAAACAGGAUUAGAUACCCUGGUAGUCCACGCUGUAAACGAUGGAUACUAGGUGUGGGGGACAUACAACCUCUGUGCCGGAGCUAACGCAAUAAGUAUCCCGCCUGGGGAGUACGGUCGCAAGACUGAA
rnacentral:rRNA from 1 species